AGUCAAACAGAAAGAAGGACGUGGUAGGAAUCUGGGAGAAAGAAAGAACUCUUUGGAACACAAAGGGAAAGCAAGCGUACCUGAGUGGCCAGGGAAGGACGCCGUGGAAUACCUGGGAACAUUUUGAUUAGUCACACAUGAAUCUUGCAGGAGUUGUGACCUCAGCCUUGUGUCGCACGUGGGAAGAAAGCUACAAGAAAGUGAUGCUUGGAACCGUAUGGCGUUGUUUUGGUGCAUUAAAUUCAAUCAGUUAAUGAAACUGGUCUGUAAUUUGUGAAGAACAUUCAUCUUUACUAAAGUUUUGGGAGUAAGUGCUACAUUUUUUUUUUCCGCAAAACAGUGAUCUUCACGGAAUGUGUUGUUUA